rnacentral:rRNA from 1 species
GACGAACGCUGGCGGCGUGCCUAAUACAUGCAAGUCGAGCGGACCAAAGGGAGCUUGCUCCUGGAGGUCAGCGGCGAACGGGUGAGUAACACGUGGGCAACCUGCCUGUAAGACUGGGAUAACAUCGAGAAAUCGGUGCUAAUACCGGAUAAUAAAAAGAACUGCAUGGUUCUUUUUUGAAAGAUGGUUUCGGCUAUCACUUACAGAUGGGCCCGCGGCGCAUUAGCUAGUUGGUGAGGUAACGGCUCACCAAGGCAACGAUGCGUAGCCGACCUGAGAGGGUGAUCGGCACACUGGGACUGAGACACGGCCCAGACUCCUACGGGAGGCAGCAGUAGGGAAUCUUCCGCAAUGGACGAAAGUCUGACGGAGCAACGCCGCGUGAGUGAUGAAGGUUUUCGGAUCGUAAAACUCUGUUGUUAGGGAAGAACAAGUGCCGUUCGAAAGGGCGGCACCUUGACGGUACCUAACGAGAAAGCCACGGCUAACUACGUGCCAGCAGCCG